rnacentral:lncRNA from 1 species
CUGUGGCCUUGCCACCUGGGAAAUCAUCCUCACCCCCCUCCCAAGUGGCUCAUCAUCCUCAAAACCUUGCCAAGAUCAUGUCACUUCACUGCUUGACCAAACCCUAAUUUCUUUUUGUCAGGAUUAUUCCUUUUUCUAUAAAAGGAAUAACCUCAAGUACCCUAGGUUGUGAAGCAACCCAUAUUUCUGUCAAUCCAAAAAUUCCCAAACAACUCUCAUAAUUUCUUUGGGUCAUAUGUUGCUCAAAUAUGCCCAAGCUUUCUUGUCCUAGCCCAAGAAAAAUUCCCCAAUAAUUAUUCUUCAUUUCUGUCCAGUGUGGCUUUCUGUGAAGAAAGUGCCACCUAUCCUUUCCUGAUUGCUCCCAAACCUUUUGGGCAUUCUCUUAUGUCCAAAUAAUUUCCUCAUGCCAAAAUUCAACUUUAUUUGCCUAGCCAAUCUUCCUCAGCAAUUUUUCAAACUUUCUGUCAGAGAAAAGGCAUUGUGAAGGAAGUGCUAGCUAGGAGUACCCAAAUGAGUUGAAAUUUGGCACACUCCUUAAUGUGCUCAUAUCAUGACCCCCCUCCAAGUUUCAGCUCCAUCCUAUCAUCUAUGUGAGCACAACAUCAAAUCUUUGAUUCUGCUAAUAUUUCCAGGUUGUGAAGCAAGUGCAUUUUAUAUUGCUUCAAAAAUCCUGAUAAAUUACCAGGUUGUGCUCCUACCCUUAUAACAUCUCUCCACCAAAUUUGGGACCAUUUCAUCAAGCCCAUAUUUCUCCAAAAUUAUUCCAAGUUUCUGUUCAGUAAGGAUGGCAGUGAAACAAGUACCACUUUGGCUUGUCCAUUUGGUAUGAAAUUUCUACAACAUAUUCUUAUGACCAAAUCAUGAUGUCUUGCCAAAUUUCAGCUCAAUUUGACUCUCCAUGUGAGUGCACCUUCCUGAUCAAGAUUCUGGACCAUAUUUGUAGUUGCAAAACAACUAUAUUAAUCUUUGGUUCAUUUCCCCUCAAACUUACCAGGAUCGUAGUCCUUCCUAUCCUAAUCACCCCAGACAAACUCUUUGGCUCCAAACAAGUUUCUGUUGAUCACCAGUGGACGGCCAAGUUUACUGCAGUAAACUUCAGACGAUGAUUACCAUAUAACCAUAGCACCCCAGAUCACGCCAUGGCCUCAUAAAUGCUCCAAUUUGGAAGGACUAUCAGCUAGACAACGUUUUGGGUGCUGUAGAGCAAUGAAUGCCCCUAUUCACGUGGUGACUACGACGAUGGCGUGCCUGUGCACGCGCUCUGUGCGCAGUGGCCGCGUCCAGGGUGUCGUUUCUGCUUCGUCCGCUCCCCUCUCGUCGUCUUCGCGUGCGUGACUAUGUCCCUUGUCUUCCUCUCGUCGUCACCGUUCUCCUGGACGCCUCUAACCCUCCGUUCGCUUCCUCACCGACGCAACCCGCCGCGUGCCCACGGGCGAACAGUGACGGUUUGGCUCGGAGCUCGCCGUCUUCUUCCUCCCUGCGCUCCCUUGGCCGCCUCUUCCCCGUGAGCUCUCCCUCCUGUUCCCUCUCGUCGCCUAACCUCGAGCUCAUGCGCGUGCACACGUGUCCGGGGCGGAGAACACGCGUCCGCGGCGACGACAGCGCGGCACACCCCUCCCCCGUCGAUAUAAGGCCACCCCGCCCCCAUCUUGCUUCACCACUGGCCUCCUUCACCUCCUCUAGCCUCCCCUGACCACGUCCCUGAGCUCGAGCCGCCCUCCAUGACCACCAUUGCCGCCAUGGUCGCCAGCCAUGCUCAGCUAAAUUCACUCAACGUCGUCCCCCUCCUUGCCUUCCACCACCACCCUCGAGCCACCCCAGCACAUCUCCUUCUUCUUUGGUGGCUGUUUGCCUCAAGCUCGACAGCGUCCGAAGCUCUAGUCCGCUGCGGUCGAGGCCCUGCUUCGUCCCGCACUCGCCGGCACGCGUGAGGAGCCCAGACGGAUGCGCCUCCCCGCGCCGGUCACUCCGGUGGCCGGGGCGCCACCUGAGGUGGACCGAGCCGCCGGAACGGCGGCCGGCGCCGAGCCUCUGCUCUGCCCCAUUGGGCGAGCGAGGAGUUGAAGACGAUGACCGCGCCCGACGACCCCACCUGCCCACGGGCCCACCUGGCAGCCGCACACUCGUUGACCCGGCUAGGCGCUGACAUGGAUUAGUGGAAACGUAAUCCUUAGAAUACGUUUUCACUAAUUGAAAGCGUAAACUGCUGCGGUUGUGGGCGGCAAUUUGUUUUCACUGCACCAAAAGCGUAUUUCCUUGAGUGCGCGUUCUGUUCUUCUAGCCGAGGGCCCGUUUGUGAUGAUUUUAUUACAAAUAGGCCCCUAGUAGAAAAAACCUUAUAUCUUUUUACUCCCAACUCCAAAUCAGGUGAAUCCAAAGCCCACUUCUUCGUAUCGUCGAGCCCGUUCUGUUGGUAUCAUUUUCACCAUGUUUUGACAUUCUGAAAAUGACCAUUUUGCCCUUGCGCUUAAUCAGCCCCGUCCGAGAGAGAACGUUUUCCGGUGAUUCUUUCCGCGAGCUUCUUGCACUUCUUCCCGGUGAUUUCUUCCACCCCAGGCAAGCCACACCCUCCAUUUGCAUGAUUGCAAUGCAGUGACAUGGUUCUUUAUUUGAACUUAUUUAAAAUAUUGUAGUAGCUAUGUAUGAUCUUGUUCAUGGCAUUUCUCGGAGUUGUAUUUUGAUCUUGUUAUUGCCAUGACUUUGCUUGGAGUUCUAGGACUAAUAUUUUGUGAGGAUGUCAUGUUGCCUUUUGAUUAGUAGUGGAUUUUAUGAUUAUUUUCAUGGUGGUAUUUGAUAUUAUGCUUUGGAGUAUUACUUUGGAUGUUGUGUUGCCCUUGGAUUAUUAGUGGCUAGUAUUAAUUUCAUCAUGAUGCUAGUUGAUAUUAUGUUUUGGAGUAUGAUGUUGGAGAUGAUGCUUGCAUGUGGAGCAUAGUUGGAUAGCUAGUUCUUGAUAUUUGAGUAGUAGUGUUAUCGUUCUUGGAUUCAUUAUGAUAGUAGUGUUAUGCUAUCCUCGGAGUAGUUUGAUAUGACGAUAGUAUGUUUUGGAUUAUUUGUUGGAUAUUGCUAUGACUUGGAUUACAGGUUGAUAGAUGCUAUCGGAGUAUCAGUUAUCAUUGUUAUAUUUUCGGGAUAAAUUCCGUCAUUAAGUUGGUCAGGUGCCACUGAAACGGGCUUUUUCCAGUGCAACCACAUUUUCCUUUUCUGGGAAGGCCCUAACACGGUCUAUUGUCGUGCCUCUCGCCGGUGCCUCCAACUAGGGAAGGUUAUGGGCGUGCGGUACCCUGGCCCAGUAAGCAGACAUAACCUUGUGUGCCCGUAGUUGUUGUUAGGCGCCUUUUUGUCCCCAUUUGGGACUGUUUUUUUGCCACGAUGGUGGUCGUUGGUGCCUUUGGUAGGCACAGGGCCACCCACGACUAAACCAAAAAGGGGUGUUGGUCGGAGUGGCCGGGAGAGUGUCAUGGCAGUAGGUCGGUUUUGUCGGAACGCCGUUGGUCCACCCGAAUGGGAGUGCGAGGCCAUGGGUUCUGUGGUGUGGGUAAAGUGCGCUACCUCUGCAGAGUGUGUGUGUUUAAUCUAUCGAUAGCCGUGUCCUCGGUCAUGGGCACAAGUUCGUACUAGGUCACACCGAUUGAUCAACACUCACAUGACGGAAUGACUUAUAGGUGAUUUAUAUGAUGAUAUAUUGUGAGCAGUAACAGUUUGGCAGGAUGUUGAUGGUGAUGUUGGGAUGAUCUUGAGGAUGAUCAUUCAGUUUGUGAUGUGGUCACAAGGUGAUCAUGUGGAUGUUUCGUUUGUGAUCCGUGAAUGAUCACCGUUUGGUUACGAGGUAACCCGUUGAAUCCAGUGUGGUUCCGUUUGUGAUGCGUGAACGAUCACCGUUUGGUUUUGAUCAUGAGGUGAUUGAGAUGGUAUGUUGCUUGGCCGGUUAGCCAAGAGUGAGAUUGUUGUUGGGAUGGAGAUGUUGGCUUACCAGUAUUGUAGUAGUUUCAUACCAUGCUUAGUAGUUGCUUCAUCCUAGUAGUUGUUAAUUUAGUUAACCUGUUUAAUGCUUUUGUGAUUGUCUUGCCUUGAUGCUUUUGGUUGUUGUGAGCUUGCAAGUACAUUCAAUGUACUGAACUGGCAUGUCAUGCCAGAUUGCAGGUGAUGUCAUGAUUGCUUGAUUGCUUGUCGAGGUUGCUGUGCGUGCGAGCUAGAUCGUGUCCCAGCCAGAGUCCAUGCGGAGUGGAGUUCACCACCUUCGUCGUUGUUUCGUUGCUUGAAGUAUUCCGCUGCUACGAGUUGUUCCGCUGCUAGCAUAGAGCAAGUGUAGUAUCGCAGGCGUGGUGUCGCGAUGCUGAUGUGAUCCUUUGUAACAUCAGACCCGUGUAUUUACCCUUUGUAAUAAGAGCUGAUUUGUUCUAUGUCAAGCAGUGCCGUAUUCCAGAAGACAUCUCCUUGAUCUCUGGGCUGGAAUACAGGGCGUUCUGGUUUCUCUGAGCCGGGGUGCCACUGGCUUGGUAUCAGAGCAAGUCUGUCUGUAGGAUGCCCUAGUCAGCGCGAGCGGUAGAAACUGGUAGUAAUCGGUAGUAUAGAGUCUACCUUGUUUGUUGCAUUUGGUUGCUGCAUUUGUUUGUUGCAUAUCAUGCAUAUAGCCUUAUCCACUACAGCUCAGCCUUUACAUUUCUCCAGUUUCUUUUCUUGCUCCUUCUUCGGUGUUUGGUGUCAUUUCUCUCCUAGCAGAGUGAUGUCAAGUGAUCCUGACACAGUUUGAAGAAAUGGUGCUCAGGUAUCGUGUCGAAUUCCUUCCUUGGUAGACAUGCUUCUACCCCGGAUCAUCCUUUUUCUUGUCGUGUUGGCAACCCUUAAUGAUCUUAGCUAUCAAGAAAGGGCAAUGUUAGCAGACUCAAUUUUGCCCCGCUAUCUUAUUUCUUGGACGGGUACGGAUCUUUUCCGUCCCUUGGUAAUAAUGUGGUCACGACAUUCGUGUCCCGCUACAUGGUUACCAAGUAUGUCCUCGCCUCCGAGCUGGUCCAGGUUGCUACCUGGCUAAGCUAGCACUUGGUGUAGCGUUGUUUACACCAAUUCUUCCACACAUUUAUUCGUUCUCGUGCACACCAUCACAGCAUGUUAGAUCGUAAUUCCGGAGUUCCCGGCAAAUUUGUGUGCUUAAGUAGGCAUGCAUAUUGUGUGACUAGCAGUACUAUGUGACUUUGUUUGAAUGUGUAGCGAUUGUUGUUGUGUGCUUUUGUUUAGUGGAGUUUUCUUUUGUUCCUUUAUUUUUGGGCCCGGUGUUACAUUAUUUUUCCCCUAUAAAGAGUUGCUCAUCAACUGACACCAGACUCGAAGAAGUAAUAAGGAGUUCAAAUAUUUGGAAACUCAGCUAAACAGAAUGGAAUUCUCAGCCGACUGCAGUGAAAUGGGGAAUAUCUGCUUUUGAGGCUGAUAAUCAAUUUUGCAUUAGUGUGCACUCCUCACAACAGUACUGAUAACUCAAGUCUACAUCAGUACAAAAUCCUCACAGCAGUAAUGAUCAAGUCAGCAGCAAGACAAAUCAGGUACAAGAUCAACAGUAUAUUUUCAGUCAAAGGUGUCGUGGAAUAGUCACGGCAGAUGUCCUCAUGCAAGGACUUAGUCGUGGAGCCAUCGCAGCUAGGAAGCUUAAAGGGGUUAAACGGGACAAAGGACACGAAGGUUAUACUGGUUCGGCCCCUUACGGUGAAGGUAAAGCCUACUCCAGUUGAGGUGGAAUUACUUGGGGUUUGAUGACCAGGGAGCUAAACCGCUAUGCCUGGCUAUUGAUCUGAUGUUCCUUGCCCUGAUCCGCCGCCGGGUUGUCCCUUUAUAUAGAAAAGUUAACGCCCAGCGGCUCUCAGAGUCCCGGCCGGCUCAUAAACUGUGUCCGGCUUGGACUCUUAACUAUUCUUGCCUUACACUACAAGUCAUUCCACAACGGCGGUUUACCACUACGGGCCUUAAGUCGCCUCCGGGCCUUAGACCUAUUACUAAACCGCCAUCCUUAACCUGUCCUUGGGCUUCUGAAUGAAGAGCUGUCGCAACGUAACCCGGCCCAGCUCGGGCAGGUUACACCAGUAGCUAUAUCCUCAACAUUAGGCCCCAGAUUGAUUUGAUCUGGUUCAUGUCAAUCUUCAAUACUUUAAGAGAAAAUCUUCCGGCUUCUGUUUGCGCGAAGGUUAUAACCCGCCAUGACGUCAUCCUCUGGAUUCUUGGUAACCCGCCGUGACGUCAUCCGCCAUUAAUGCACGUUCUGCCCAACGUAUCUCAACGGAUCAUUAUCUUUAAUAACUAUCCCGAAAAUCGAGGCGCCUCAGCAGCUGGAUAAUCAUGUCUUCAGCCUCCUCGUUUCUCGCGCCCACUUAACAGCCGUCCCUUAUAAAUAGGCCCAACCGGGUCCUCUCUCACUCUUCCCUUUCCGUCGUCUUCCUCCUCUCAACACCUCAGAGCCCGAGCUCCGCCGCCGCCGUCGCCGCGCCUCUCGUCUUCCUCAGCCUCGGCCGCUGCAUCAACCUGAGCCAGUCCAGAGAACGGCGGCGACUCUCCGCAGUGAACCUGCAACUGUAAGUCCUCUUCUUCUCAAACGUCAGAUCCGCAUUAGGGUUCCGCGUUCCUCCAUGUUCUUCGUAGUUCAUCUCAGUUCUUUUAUAGUUCUUCCACCGCAACUUCUUUUGAUUCGAAAAACAGUACAGAACUCCAGCGGUAGUGGUUUCGCACCCAUUCCCAAUACUAGCAGAUCCCCUUUGCUUGCAAAAUGACCUCAUUAGAACUUAUGAACUUCUCUAUGCCAGUUUUUAGGUCUAGAAAAUUUUCCUUUCUGGACAACCGUUUGAUCCAAAAUAAUUACUGCAACCUGUGAAACUUGUUUGUGCAACACUUAGGCAAAAAUUGCAUCUCUUAGCUAUGGCAGCUCAUAUCACCGGCGUAAAAAAGGCAAUGCUUCAUGAAUAUUCUGGCUCAUUCAUAAUAGAUUCAAAUAACUUAAUUGCUCAUGAUAUCCGUAGCGGCUUAAAUAAUCUGACACAAUUAGCCAUAUAUCAUUAGGCCCCUUCAUAAGCCGCCACCUUAGAAACUUUUCUCCAGCUUAAAUUUGAACCGGAAAUUUUUAUUUUGUCAUAGGCUUCCAUCCUUCACAAUGCCGCCCAAGGCUCCCAAGGCGCCCAUUACAUGCAACUGGGUUAGAUCUAACGUCACCGAUAGCACCUUAGCUGACUUCGUGAAAACGGGUUACCUGCCCAAGAAAGAGGUUAUGUCAUAUCGUGCUCCUGACCCAUCUGAAGAGAGACCUCAACCCAAGGACGGAGAGGUUGUCAUAUUUGCUGAUCACAUGAGCCGAGGCUUUGCUCCUCCCGGCUCAAAAUUCUUCAGAGAUGUUCUUCACUUUUUUGACCUGCGACCUCAAGACAUUGGACCCAAUUCCGUGUCAAACAUUUGUAACUUCCAAGUGUUCUGUGAGGUGUACCUUGGAGAAGAGCCCAGCCUACUACUCUUUAGAGAGUUAUUCUAUCUGAACCGCCAAAAUGAAUGUGCCAAUGGGCCCAGCCUAGAACUCGGUGGAAUCUCAAUCCAACGACGGAGAGAUUGCCUCUUUCCUUAUGUUGAGCCGCCAAGCCACCCGAAGGACUAGAACCAGCCAUGGUUCUACUGCCAAGACACUUCUCCGGCUGAUGAGAAUCCUCUGCCCGGCUUUCGCGCCCUGCGUCUGGAAUCAAAUCACCCCUUGCCAGACAAACUAUCUCAAGCUGAACGUCAGGCACUUACUCCCACCAUUAACAAGAUCAGAGCUCUUCUGGGGAACGGCCUGAAUGGCAUUGAUCUGGUCCGGGUCUGGAUUGCUUGGCGGGUGAUUCCUUUAAGCCGCCGCCCCGGCCUAAUGUGCGAUUAUACGGGCCGGAAGGAUGAUCCUCUUCGGCACAGUCCCAACGACCUACCUGAAGACGUCAUUGAUGACAUGACCAGGUCUCUUCUGAACGAGAGCCUGGCAGAUUGCGGGAGAACAGGCUUAAGUCCUUUCUGCAAGGCUAACCCGGCCCCAGCGGUAAACUAUUGACCUGAACACCUCUCCUUCCAUUUUAACGAUUUCGUCUUAACUUCAAGAACCUUUGUUGUAUUUUACAGGCUAAUGAUAAAUUCUGGAAGGUCAAGUAUGACCAUGAAGCUGCCAAGAAAGCCAGAAAGGUUAAGAAAGCCGCCAGGAGAGCCGCUCCCCGUAAGAAGGGGAGUAAACCUAGCGCCUCGGACCUGCUUUGUCUGGAAGACACCUCCGAGUCAGAGGUAGCUCUUGAUUCUUUAGGCUCCUUUUUUAAUCAUCUUAUUGACACGGAUUAUCAGCAGGAGGACACCGGAACGAGUCAUGAAGUGAAUGAAGAGGUAACUAUAAUUUCCUCAGACUCCGAGCCUUUGCUGAGACGGAAAGUCCGAAGAGUAACCCGGAAAGUAAGAUUUUCACAUCCUUUAGCUUAUCAAGAUCCUCAAUUUCUUUUGAAGCGACAGAUUUAUGAGAGCCGGAGGCAGACCCGGACCAGCAAAGAUGUAGACCUCUCCUUCGGCUUACCCGAAGCAUCAAGAAAGUGCCGUAGUGAGGUUAUCUCCGACUUAUAUCCUUCUCAUCCUUUGGCGGGCGUCACUCGUCAACCACUCAAUUCUUCUGAUUCAAACUACCAGGGAACUUCUCCUUCCUCCGGCGACUCAAUGCAGUCUAGCUUGCCGGCUUUCAAAACCGCACCCGGGUAAUGAUGAUCAGCUUAUUUUGUACUUAUCUUACUCAUGUUUUUGCACUAACCCUUUGGCUUUCAAUGUACAAGUAAAACCCAGCAAGAGGGCGAAGAAAAAUAAGCUGGCCGAAGAGCCGGUCCUGACUGAACCUGAUGCUUCUGCUCAUGAGCCGCCGUCUGCACCAGCUCCUGAAACCGCCACUGAUCCAUCUGAUGAACAAGUUAUGGAAGGUUCUGAUAACCCGGAGAUCCCCAGCCCGGCUCAUCCAGAUGAUCCGGACGUUGUAAUCACCCGGACCGAGUUUGUCGAACCGGGAAGACCCACCGUGUUGGCUAGAUGCUCUGCCAAGGAAGAACUUCUGGAACGCCGCAGGGCCAGGCUGGACAUGACUGAUUAUGCUAAUCUGAGCAUUGGAGAUAUUGUCUCUGGCUAUAUUAAUCAAGUGCACAACAGCCGGGACCUGGAAAUUGAUAUGGUGAAGCAAAUACAGCAAAAGUCUGAGGUAUGACUCUCUUGCUUACUCCAUAGUUAUCCUUACCAUGCCAGCCCCCAAGUCUAUUACUUAUGAUGACAUAUGUUGUAGACUUAAUACCGGCUUAAUAAUCACUGCAAGAAAACCGGCUUACCUGGUAACACUCAAGGGCCGGUUUAAACAUCAUAGUUGAACCGGUCCUUACCUUAUUUUAAUCAAGUAGUUGAGCAACUUUAUACAUUAGCCCCCAAGUGCCAAGUACCUUUGCCCGCAAAGUGCUUGGGACUUAUUUUCAUGAACCGGCACUGUAAAUAGAUCUUUUCAGCAUACAUUAGCCCCCAAGUGCCAAGUGUCUUUGCUUGCAAAGUGCUUGGGUCUUAAUGUUGCAUUAUAAUCACCCUAACUGUAACCCGGAAUUUGUACAGGCCGCCUGUAAGAAAUUUGAAUCGGAAAUCUCUGAUCUAAAGAACCGCCUGAAGACUCAGGAAAGUGAAACCCAAAAGGCCAACUCCAAAUUUGAAGUCAGCAUAUCGGCACAAGAGAAACUGAAGAAGAAGUUUGAAGCAGAAAGAAAAGCCUGGGCAGACGAAAAGACUGCUUUGCUCAGCCGGGCCGAACAAGCGGAGGCCACUCUUACUGAAAGAACCGCCGAGCUAUCCGGCUUAAAACGCCAUGUAUCUCAGAUGGUCUCCGCAAUCUUUGGUAAGUUACUCUAUAAGUUUCUAACUAGUUUACAUCGUUCAUUUCCCAUAAGUAUCUCAAUUGCCAUCAGCUCACCUGACUUUGUAAUGCAGGUCCCAGGAGUUCCAAUCUCAACCAGAACAUGCUGACCAAGCUGAAGGCGGUUUAUACCUUGGUAGAACAACUUUACACCGGGUCACAACGUGCCUUAGCCGUUGUGGCUCUGUCAAACGAAGUUCCCACCCAUCUGGCGGAUGUACUCAGGCGGCUUGUCGUGCUUCCUCAACGCUUCUAAGAGUUAAGACGAGCUUCUGCAAGAGCCGGAGCCAUAGCCGCUCUAAGCCGGGCCAAGGUGUUUCUACCGGAGCUAGACCCAGCCGACAUCGCCCUUGGGUAUCCUAGCUUGAAGGAAGACGGCACUCCCUUUGACCAGAAAGACUUCGCCGCUUGUGUGAAGAGUGUACGCCCGGUGGCCACUUUAAUAGGAAAUGACACAGACCUUACCAAAUAUCAACCGGGCUAUGACGCGGAAUCAGAGGAUCCCAACACCUCGUUAUGAAGCAGUCAGCCUGAUUCCUCCGACUCGUAAGCAUACCUUUGCCCCUGAAGUUGACCCGGCCGGGUUAAUUGAUGAUGAAGCUCAAUUUGAAGCCUUGAGUGGCAUUGACUGGAAAUCAUCAACCUUCCAGGACAUGGAAACAGCCGGAGGAGCGGAGAGGGAUGAGCCGGAAGCUUCAACCCAACAAGCACCUUUGACUUCUUAGGCAGCUCAUGGUUUUGUCUCAAAAACAAUGCCUCACCUUUUGGACUCGGGGAGUCCUGUAAUAGAGUAGGACGAACACUUAAUUUUGUCGUGCCAUCGUGCACGUGCGUAGCGCCUAACUCUAUUUAAACUGCCCUUUGAUAUUCUUCCGGGUUAUGUUUGAUCCUCUGCUUUCCUUAAGUUUAAAGAGCUCUCUUUAAUUGUCCUGCAUAGAAAACAAAUCACAAGUCUCUAGGAGGCUUACCGCAUGGAGAGUCAUAUAUUUUACAUAUAACCCGGAAUAUGAAUCAAGGUCAUAAUAAACCGGCUCUCAAUUACAUCUUCGAGAUAGCCAUAACAGCAUACAUGCGAGCCUUCAAGUACACUUCCGGUUUAUGUAACCCGAAUAAUGAGGUUGAGAACUCAACUCCGGCUCACCAGCACAUAUAAUGCUUAUUAUGUGUUGUCAACAUUAUUAAUCAAGGUUAAGCCGGUGGAAUAAGAACCACCCUUGAAUACUUUUGAUAUCGUCAAAAGAACUGAUUUGCAAACCAAGAGAUCUCAAAAAUUUAGGGGCUUCUGAUUCGAAUACGACCAGAGGACCGUUCCAAAGGGGUUAAGCUAAGAUUCGAAUGCGAUCAUAUAGCCCCCAGUGGCUGUGGCGUUGCCGAUCAAGAGGGUACCGACAGCUAUGUUCUCUUUGGUUCGAAUACGACCUAUGUUUGAACAGGAAGCCCCCAAAUGACCUUGAGAGUUGUUUAACGACGCUGAUUCGAAUACGACCCACGUCGGUUCCCAAAGGGGGUUGAGCUAUGAUUCAAAUAUGAUCAAGAAAAACUCCCCAAUGAGCUCGGCAAUAUCCCAAUCAAGUGGGUAUCGACAGCUAUGUUCUCUUUGGUUCGAAUACGACCUAUGUUUGAAUAGGAAGCCCCCAAGUAAUCAUAUUUUUAAUGGCUAGAUUCGAAUACGAUCAUAAGCCGGAUCAACCUCCAAGUGACCAUGUAAUAUUACAAUGAAAGUAACAAUGAUACAUUUACCUUUGGAGGAAAAAAACGACAGAGGUCCUGCUUUAUUAUUUAUCACAAUAUAUACAUGGCUAUAGAAAUAUGUACAUUAUGAGAGCCGGUGGCUCAAGUGUAAUAAGGCCGAAGCUGAGCUAUGUUCCACGGCCGAUGGGUCUCCUCCUCCGACUUACGUGAAUCUUUGUGCUCCCGAACAUCGAUAAGGUAGUAUGACCCGUUGUGCAAGUUCUUCCUGACCACAAAGGGCCCUUACCAAGGUGGGGAUAGCUUGUGUGCAUCUAUUUGAUCCUGGAUGAGCCGGAGCACCAAAUCACCUUCCUGAAAGACCCUGGACUUAACCCGGCGGUUGUGAUAGCGGCGCAGGUCUUGUUGGUAAAUCGCCGAGUGAGCUGCUGCUAUGUCACGCUGUUCGUCCAACAAGUCAAGAGCAUCUUGACGCGCUUGCUCAUUAUCCGCCUCGACAUAAGCCGCUACUCGAGGCGAAUCAUGACGGAUGUCACUAGGGAGGACCGCCUCAGCUCCGUAAACCAUGAAGAAAGGCGUGUAACCCGUAGACCUGUUAGGAGUAGUAUUGAUGCUCCAUAAUACAGAGGGUAACUCCUCCACCCAACAACCCGGCGUCCGUUGCAAAGGGACCAAAAGCCGGGGCUUGAUGCCCUUCAAGAUUUCCUGAUUGGCUCUCUCAGCUUGACCAUUGGAUUGAGGGUGAGCCACUGAUGAAACAUCAAGCCGAAUAUGCUCUCGUUGAAAAAAUUCCUCCAUGGCACCUUUAGACAGAUUGGUACCAUUGUCAGUUAUAAUGCUGUGUGGAAAACCAAAGCGAAAUAUCACCUUUUUCAUGAACUGGACCGCCGUGGCUGCGUCACACUUACUAACUGGCUCUGCCUCUACCCACUUUGUGAACUUGUCAACCGCCACUAAGAGGUGGGUCUUCUUAUCCUUGGACCUUUUGAAAGGCCCAACCAUAUCCAGCCCCCAGACUGCAAACGGCCAAGUGAUUGGAAUCAUCCUCAAUUCUUGAGCCGGCACGUGAGCCCGUCUUGAGAACUUUUGACAACCGUCACACUUACUGACCAAGUCUUCUGCAUCAGCAUGAGCCGUUAGCCAAUAAAAACCAUGGCGAAAAGCUUUGGCCACAAGGGAUUUUGAGCUGGCAUGAUGGCCACAAUCCCCCUCGUGAAUCUCACGUAGAAUUUCUUGACCUUCCCCAGAGGAAACACAAUGCUGAAAAGCUCCCGUAACACUGCGAUGAUGCAGCUCGCCAUUGACAAUUACCAUUGACUUAGACCGCCGGGUUAUUUGUCUGGCCAAAGUUUCAUCCUCAGGCAAUUCUCCCCGGGUCAUAUAAGCCAAGUAUGGCACUGUCCAAUCUGGGAUAACGUGGAGAGCCGCCACCAACUGUGCUUCUGGGUCAGGAACAGCCAAGUCUUCCUAUGUAGGCAACUUGAUAGAAGGGUUAUGCAGAAUAUCCAAGAAAGUAUUAGGCGGCACCGGCCUUCGCUGAGAGCCCAGCCGGCUUAAUGCAUCAGCCGCCUCGUUCUUUCUGCGAUCAAUGUGCUCUACUUGGUAACCCUGAAAAUGUCCAGCAAUGGCAUCAAAUUCGCGGUGAUAAGCCGCCAUGAGGGGGUCCUUGGAAUCCCACUUGCCUGAUACUUGUUGGGCCACCAAAUCUGAGUCACCAAAGCAUCUUACCCGGCUUAAGCUCAUCUCCUUGGCCAUCCGAAGACCAUGGAGCAAGGCCUCAUACUCAGCUGCAUUGUUAGUACGGGGAAACAUCAACCGUAAGACGUAACAAAAUUUGUCACCUCGAGGGGAAGCUAACACGACUCCAGCCCCCGAGCCCUCCAAUUGCCUGGACCCAUCGAAGUGAAUAGUCCAGUAUGUAUUAUCCGGUUUCUCUUCAGGCACCUGCAGCUCUGUCCAAUCGUUGAUGAAAUCCACCAAUGCUUGAGAUUUGAUAGCAGUGCGUGGCACGUACUUUAAACCAUGAGGCCCAAGUUCUAUGGCCCACUUAGCAACUCUUCCUGUGGCUUCUCUGUUUUGGAUGAUAUCUCCUAGGGGAGCAGAACUAACCACAGUGAUAGGGUGGCCUUGGAAAUAAUGCUUAAGCUUCCGGCUUGCCAUGAACACUCCAUGAACAAGCUUCUGCCAAUGUGGAUACCGUUGCUUAGACUCAAUAAGUACUUCACUGACGUAGUAAAUCGGCCGCUGAACCGGAUGUUCCUUACCCGCCUCCUUACGCUCCACCACCACAGCCACACUGACGGCUCGUGUGUUAGCGGCUACAUACAACAACAAGGGCUCCUUAUCGAUAGGAGCAGCAAGGACCGGCGGCUCAGCUAGCUGUCUUUUCAAAUCCUCAAAAGCAGCAUUAGCAGUGUCAUUCCAGACAAAAUCAUCUAUUUUCUUCAUCAUCUGAUAUAGUGGCAUGGCUUUUUCGCCCAACCGGCUUAUAAACCGGCUCAAAGCCGCGAUGCGACCCGCCAGACGCUGGACGACAUUUAUGCACGCCGGUUUAGCCAGAGAGGUGAUUGCCUUGAUCUUCUCCGGGUUAGCUUCGAUGCCUCUGUGAGAAACCAGAAAACCCAAGAGCUUGCCUGCUGGAACACCAAAAACACACUUGGCCGGAUUAAGCAUCAUCUUAUAGAUCCGGAGAUUAUCAAAGGUCUCUUUCAGAUCAUCUACCAAGGUUUCCUUCUCUCUGGAUUUUACCACAAUAUCAUCCACAUAAGCAUGAACGUUGCGCCCAAUCUGAUUACGGAGACAAUUCUGCACGCACCGCUGGUAAGUCGCCUGUGCACUCUUGAGCCCAAAAGGCAUAGACACAUAACAGAAGGCUCCAAAGGGAGUGAUGAACGCCAUCUUCUCUUGGUCCUUAACUGCCAUUUUGAUCUGAUGGUAUCCAGAAUAAGCAUCCAAAAAACUUAAACGAUCACAACCUGCCAUAGCAUCAAUAAUUUGAUCAAUACAGGGGAUAGCAAAAGGAUCAGCCGGACAAGCCUUGUUUAAAUCCGUAUAGUCCACACACAUACGCCAUGUGCCGUUCUUCUUGAGCACGAGCACCGGGUUAGCUAACCAUUCUGGAUGAAAGACUUCAACGAUAAACCCGGCCGCCAAGAGCCGGGCUACUUCCUCACCAAUGGCUUUUCGCCUCUCCUCAUUAAACCGCCGGAGGAAUUGCCUGACUGGCUUAAAUUUCGGAUCAAUGUUGAGAGUGUGCUCAGCGAGUUCUCUUGGUACACCCGGCAUGUCAGAAGGUUUCCAUGCAAAGAUGUCUCUGUUCUCACGGAUGAACUCGAUGAGCGCGCCUUCCUAUUUCGGAUCCAGAUUGGCACUGAUGCUGAACUGCUUAGACGAGUCACCUGGAACAAAGUCAACAAGUUUAGUCUCAUCGGCCGACUUAAAUUUCAUUACCGGCUCAUGCUCCGUGGUUGGCUUUUUCAAAGACGUCAUAUCUGCCGGGUCAACAUUAUCCUUGUAAAACUUCAACUCCUCUGUUGCACAAACAGAUUCAGCGUAGGCAGCGUCACCUUCCUCGCACUCCAAAGCUAUCUUUCAGCUGCCGUGAACCGUAAUGGUCCCAUUGUGACCCGGCAUCUUGAGCUGCAAGUAUACGUAACACGGUCGUGCCAUGAACUUGGCGUAAGCCGGCCGUCCAAAUAGAGCAUGGUACGGGCUUCUUAUUUUAACCACCUCGAAAGUCAGUUUUUCCGCCCUGUAGUUGUACUCAUCUCCAAAGGCUACUUCCAGUUUGAUCCUACCAACUGGAUAUGCCGACUUACCGGGCACCACACCAUGGAAAACAGUGUUGGACUGGUUGAGGUUUUUAUCAGUCAACCCCAUACGACGGAAGGUCUCAUAAUAGAGGAUGUUGAUGCUACUGCCUCCGUCCAUGAGCACCUUAGUGAAUUUAUACCCCCAACCUGAGGAGCCACCACUAAGGCCAGGUGACCCGGAUUAUCAACCCGGGGAGGGUGAUCAUCCCUACUCCAUACAAUAGGCUGCUCAGACCAUCUCAAAUAAUUUGGAACCGCCGGCUCAACAGCAUUCACAGCCCUCUUAUGAAGCUUUUGGUCUCGCUUGCACAGACUGGUAGUAAACACAUGAUACUGUCCACUAUUGAGCUGCUUUGGAUUGGUCUGGUAUCCCCCCUGCUGCUGCUGCUAAUUACCCUGGCCAGAUUGCUGAUUAAAACCUCCUUGAUUACCUUGAAAAUUCUGAGAAUUGGAAUUUGAGCCGCCGCCCGGGCCAUGAAAGCCGCCGCCCUGCCCAUUGUUGCCAUUAAAAGCGUUGGAAUUUUUGAAGGCUUUCAUGAUUGCGCAGUCCUUCCAUAGAUGAGUGGCCGGCUUCUCCCUAGAGCCAUGCCUUGGGCAGGGCUCAUUCAACAAUUGAUCAAGCGUCGGGCCUGACCCACCGGAUCGGGGAGGUGGUCUCCCCUUACGUCGGUGCUUGUUACCCUGCGCAUUGGUGUUGGCCACAAACUCCAUACUGCCAUCAGCUUUACGUUUGUUACCUCCCUGGUUCGCCGGGUUAUGCUGAGGGCCCUUGCCGUUGCCAUUCUUCUUUCCCUUCCCUGUCCUUUCAUCAUCGGACGCGGGAUCCUUGGUACUAUCACAGUCGGCGUACUUGACCAGAGCCGCCAUCAGCGUACCCAUAUCAUUGCAAUCGCGCUUGAGCCGCACGAGCUUCAUCUUCAGGGGCGCAAAAUGACAAUUCUGCUCCAACAUUAAGACUACAGAGCCGGCAUCCAUCUUAUCAGACGAAUGUAUUAUCUCUUUGACCCGGCGUACCCAAUGGGUUGUAGACUCGCCCUCUUGUUGCUUGUAGUUGGUCAAAUCCACAAUUGACAUAGAUUGCCUGCAUGUAUCUUUGAAGUUUUGGAUGAACCGGGCUUUUAGCUCUGCCCAUGACCCGAUAGAAUUAGGUGGCAGCCCUUUCAACCAAGUGCGGGCAGUCCCAUCCAACAUCAUGGUGAAGUAUUUGGCCAUUGCCGCUUCGCUGACCUCCAGCAACUCCAUAGCCAUCUCGUAGCUCUCAAUCCAUGCUCCGGGCUGUAAAUCCGCCGUGUAAUUAGGUACCUUCCUAGGUCCUUUGAAAUCCUUGGGCAGACGUUCGUUACGGAGAGCCGGUACCAGACAGGGGACACCUUCAGUCCUCGUAGCUAUGCCUGCCUCGAUAGAGGCCGUUGGAUAAACCGUGAGGGGUUGGUAAGCCGUCAGCUGAGCCGCCUGCUCCGCCUCUUGACGUGCUCUGUCUGCGUUAAAGGCUCCAUUAUGCGUCGGGCCAUGGCCAGCUGGCAAGUCAUGGCGCCGGACGUUGCUUGAGCCGGUCGCUGAAACCAUGUGUCUGCUAUAACUUGGGCUCCGGCUUGGGCGAGGGGUCGAAUGAAUCCUGUCCCGGCUAUAUGAAUAUGCCUCCUGUUGCGCCAGAGCCGUCUGAAGAAGUUCUCUGACCCGGCGGGUUUCGACCGCUGUCGGAGAGUCACCCUCAACUGGGAGAGCCGCCAGUCGCGCCGCCGCAGCAAUCAUGUUCUCCAACGGAUUAGAAUAGUGACCCGGUGGUAUUGGUACAUAUUGAGGUGGGGAAGUAUUCACACGGGGAGGCCCCAUUACUUGCGGCUGAACCGGCGUUCCAGCCCCGGGUGCCGUGAUUUCUGGCGGGUUACUGGGCCCUGCACCAGGCGUGUUGAAGAGGUUUCGAGGAUCGUAAACCGGAGGGAGUCGAGAUUGAGCCUUCUGAUGCCUCCUUCUCAUGAUCUCAUUGGAUGCGUUCUGAUCCAUCGUGAGCCAGAAAGACUACGCCUGAAUUAGUUGAGUCUGGGCGUCUAGAGCCGCCCGUUCUGCAGCCAUCCUGAUCCCUUCCGCUGCUAGAUCCUCCUUGGCUCGUGCUAUAUCCAGUUUUAACUGUGCCACUUCUGCAUCAUGUUGAGCUUGAUCCGCCGGGACGACCGUGGCAGUUAACAGGGCCGUCAUCUUAUCUGUGAGAUCCAUUAGCACCUGAGCCGGCGAGUGCGCAGGGCCCCCUGCCCCAGCGGCGGGGUUUUGAACAGGUUGUGUGCCGGCCAUGAAGAUUCCAACCCGGCUGGGCGGCUCAAAGGGGUCCGGAAUACUGUCGCCAUCGGAACAACCCCUGAGCCUGCCAUCUUGAAGUUGAUAUAACGAGUUGGUCUCAUCUGUGGACGACUCGCCGUCAGAUCGAGCGGCCAUCUCAUCGCCAGAUCCAGAUCCUUCAGAAAGUCCUCCAUGGACGCAUCCCACGAAAGCACGUUUCAAAGCGGGUAGAGCCCGGGCGGGUCUCGCACGCUGAGCCGCCUCGAUGAGGUCGGUGCCGAUGUCCGGCUCAGGGCCCGGCUCACCGAUCUUGCCAAUGAACACGUGGAUUCCACCGAAGGGGACCCGGUACCCGUACUCGAUUCAGCCGACGGCGGGGCCCCAGUCUGCGUCGUUGAUGUAGAACUUGCCGCGACGACUUUUGGUCAUCCGGCCCACAGCGUAUCCCUUGAGCCCUUCGAAGCUGCCCUUCAAGAACUCAAAUCCACUGUGCGCUGGCCCCACGGUGGGCGUCAACUGUCGUGGAAUAGUCACGGCAGAUGUCCUCAUGCAAGGACUUAGUCGUGGAGCCAUCGCAGCUAGGAAGCUUAAAGGGGUUAAACGGGACAAAGGACACGAAGGUUAUACUGGUUCGGCCCCUUCCGGUGAAGGUAAAGCCUACUCCAGUUGAGGUGGAAUUACUUGGGGUUUGAUGACCAGGGAGCUAAACCGCUAUGCCUGGCUAUCGAUCUGAUGUUCCUUGCCCUGAUCCGCCGCCGGGUCGUCCCUUUAUAUAGAAAAGUUAACGCCCAGCGGCUCUCAGAAUCCCGGCCGGCUCAUAAACUGUGCCCGGCUUGGACUCUUAACUAUUCUUGCCUUACACUACAAGUCAUGCCACAACGGCGGUUUACCACUACGGGCCUUAAGUCGCCUCCGGGCCUUAGACCUAUUACUAAACCGCCAUCCUUAACCUAUCCUUGGGCUUCUGAAUGAAGAGCUGUCGCAACGUAACCCGGCCCAGCUCGGGCGGGUUACACCAGUAGCUAUAUCCUCAACAUUAGGCCCCAGAUUGAUUUGAUCCGGUUCAUGUCAAUCUUGAAUACUUUAAGAGAAAAUCUUCCGGCUUACACCAGUAGCUAUAUCCUCAACAAAAGGUAUGGAUCAUAUACAAAAUUUUAGCUCAGCAAGGCAUGAUGCUUGAAAUAUGUUAUCAUCCGACAUAAAAUCAGAAUGUGAGAUGCUCAAGGAAGACAGUCACACAAAUUUUCUUAGGCAAAUAAUCAGCCACAGAAUAUUAUGGGCGUGUGUGUAGAUUUCAGUCUGCAUAUCAGUAUGAAGCUUUGGAUGUAAGAAACUCAGUCUUCCUCCACAUGCUAUCGGAAGAAAUUUACGAUGCAAGGCUCCUCAAUUUUCCUCAGCAUGAUAUGUGAACAAUUUCCGGUCCAAGAUACCCGGUCUUUCUCAGCAAGAUACCUCGGUAAAAGCUUCUGACAGACGGAAAUGAAUUUUUCUCAACAAGCAAACCCGAGGAGAAGCUUCUCAAGUAUGGAACUCAGGCGUCUCCAGCACAAUAAUCAGACCAAGCUUCGUGUGUAAGCUAUAGAGCCUUCUUCUGCACGAUACCCAGACAAAACAUUUGAGCAGAAGGUAGCAAGUCUUCCUCGGCAAGCUACUCGGAUGGCUUCUCUUUGCAGUUCAAGGAUCAGAUUUGCAAUAAUUUUGUCAGAGGUACAUUGCAGUCAAAACAUAUGCCUACCUCAAGAAUCAAGUGUUUGGUUGCAUAUGAUUUUUAUAUAUGGUGAGCAUGCAUCCCCAGUCACAUCAGUCACUCAUACGAGAUGCGGCAAGGAUCUAGCCGAUAUACCUAAGGAAAGUAAGGAUCCCACAACCUCACGAGUUAGGCAAAGGAGAAUGAGUUGAGAUACAUCUCAUGUAAUACAAUGAUCGACAAGAUCUGAAGAUGACACUGCAGAAUCCACAGUCUUGACAAUGGUCAUCAAGGCAAUUAUUCCCGCGCCUGACAAGGUGAUAUUAUGAACUCUUGUCACCCUCUUGUAUGAUUGGCCUCAACAACAAGCUCUGUACAGUUACAAGCCCCGAGUAUAUGUCAUAUAUGUGCAGAACCCAAGCACAAGGAAAUAUGUCAAAAAUAUUGCACUAGCCCCAGUCAUGGUCAUAUGAAGAAUCAAGGCCAUGUGUGGCCAAGUUAUUUCAGUAAAGUAUCCUAACAAAGAAAAUCAUGACCGUCGAAAGGAUGAGACUGACAGCAGCAGUACGAUGAUCUUUGCAUGACCAUCAGGGUCCGAAUACACAAGUCAGUGAAAGCCAUAAUGAGCCAUAAAGGCAUACCCUCAGAGGAUUACUCUGUUUUACAAGGAUUUCAUAUCCCACUGACCCGCUUGGAAUGGUUAGUGCGGAAAAUCCAAAUGGGUAUACCGACAAAAUGAGGAAAAUCAAAAGCCGAACAAUCAGCUCAGACACGGUACACGGAAUCAAGUACACGGUCAGUCUAUCAGGAAAAGCAUUUGUCCAUCAGCCCCCUGCCGGGCCAGUCUCAAGAUGUAAAUAUUUGAGGUAUGACACAGCUAUAACCCCAUACACCGUUAUAUUGCUCCCGACAAAAGGCAGUCGAAUCUUUGGUAGAUAUCUCAUGCUCGAGCCAAAGGAAUAAAUCAAAAUAAAUCAGUACCACCUAUGAGCAGUCAAAUCCCGUCAGAAGAUGGCCAUGAUUAAUUCUCAACAUUUAUUGAAACCAGAAGGCCUGCAUUUAUUUGAAGCAACCCCAUUACAGAAAUAAAAAGAUUUCCAUGACCAAAAGAAAAAUUAUGCUCAGAUCCAUUGGAUAUCACCACAAGUAUGGAGAAUCAACGUCAGUAAAAAGGAAUCGGUAUAUAAGCAAAGACCCGUCAGAAUUUGGGGAAAGGUGAAGCAAACCACCCCAGAGCAAGGUAAGUUGAUCAUCUGAAAUUCUUGGAGGAACAAUAAAUAAAGGAAAAAGGAUACCCGAGUUGGAAACGGUGUCCUCAAGUUAUACUUGUUCCCUGAGCAACCAAAUCUCGAGGACGAGAUUUCUUUAAGGGGGUAUGAGUUGUAACAACCUGGCUUUUGGCCCUUUUCUUUUUCUUUUGAUUUAUUUGGUUAUUGCUCUGUUUUUUCUUUUUGGAGUGGUUCUGUGGCCUUGCCACCUGGGAAAUCAUCCUCAUUCCCCCUCCCAAGUGCUCAUCAUCCUCAAAACCUUGCCAAGAUCAUGUCACUUGACUGCUUGACCAAACCCUAAUUUCUUUUUCUCAGGAAUGUUCCUUUUUCUAUAAAAGGAAUAACCUCAAGUGCCCUAGGUUGUGAAGCAACCCAUAUUCAUGUCCAUCCAAAAAUUCCCAAAUAAUUCUCAUAAUUUCUUUGGGUCAUAUGUUGCUCAAAUAUGCCCAAACUUUCUUGUCCUAGCCCAAGAAUAAUUCCCCAUAAUUAUUCUUCAUUUCUGUCUAGUGUGGCUUUCUGUGAAGGAAGUGCCACCUAUCAUUUCUUGAUUGCUCCCAAACCUUUUGGGCAUUCUCUUAUGUCCAAAUCAUUUCCCCAUGCCAAAAUUCAACUUUAUUUGCC